UCCACUUUCAAUUAAUGCUGUGUCUGUCACCCGGUAGUCGCCAAGCACAGCAUUUCUCUCACUACCUCGUUGUUUUGUCCUUUGACCAGCAUCUGUAUCUCUCUCUCUCUCAGAUGCUAUGCACUUCAGCUAAUCUCAAUCUUUACUUCAAUGUUUCAGUGUACAGAUAAGCUUGUGGUUCCACUUCCACUUGACAACCAUAGCAAAGUUUCUCAGGUGGAUGUAGAGUCAAGUUUGUUUUCAAGAAGAUAUCCAAUUCACCUGCUGAGUUUAUUAUUGUCAGGACUGAUUGACAUUUGAUCAAGUGAUGCUUAUCCAGCUUGCACAAGGGGAUGCUUGCGAUGUGUGUAUUUAUUAAAAAAUUGGAGAUUCCUCUGCAUUAUCCUUCUAUCUUGAAGAUUGCACUUGAUUCCAGAGGACUUGCAUAUGUUGCUUCAGUUCGGUACUACAGUGAAGAUGAUAUCUUCGAUUCCUUGAGAUGUGCUAUCACCUGUUGUAGCUUUACAAAGGUUGAAAGCCAACUGAAUUGAUUUUGGUAAGCUUUAUAGAAAAUAGCUAAAACGGGUUCACUGUGUUGUGUGGCUGCAAGGCCACAUGGGUCAAAUACGACCAGUGGAGAUUGGUCCAUGGUUCAGCAUGAGCGUUACUGGCAAACUAAUACAAGUGUCUCACCACCCCCAUCAAGAUGGGAUUUUACUUUCCCAUUUGAAGAGCUGCCGAAUGAUUCACGCAAAGGUAACCUACUACUUUGGUCCUCAACAGCAUCAAACAGAAAAGAAAGCAGAUGGAUGAGAGGCAACCAUCUUUAUAAUAAUUGUUGUUCUGCAUCUGUUGGCACAGGCCUGCUUUUGACUAGUCCUGAUCUUUCUUCUGGUCCUCACUGGACACCUCCAGUCAUACAGGAAAUUAAUGCUGAUGAUUAUGAAACUGCAACAAAGAG
rnacentral:misc_RNA from 1 species